UUAGUCCAGCUGACUUUAUUAAAAGGAGGUGUUUCUGUGUGUGGCUGUCCAUCUAUCCUAAAUUGGUAUGUUUUGUUUUUGUUCAUUUGUUUCCAAAACACUUCCUAUAUUCUUUUCCAAAGAGUCUGCCUGCUUUUCCUUAGUCUCCUUGUCACGAGUAGAUAUUCUCAUCAAGCACUAUAAAUGUGAGAUUGCCUCAUUUCUUUCCAUUUGUUUAGACUUAAUGGUCAUUUGCGGAGAGCAUACAGACAUUAAUGUCUUUCCAAGAUGUAUACUUUCUAUUAGAAUAACUUAAAAGGGGGGAAUUGAGAAAUAUGUACAUAAGAAAUUGAACACCUUUAAUCUCUUGGUCACUAGUUGAACUCCAGCUCAGUACAGUUGUGAAUGAAUAUUAUUUCUAUCAGUGGCCAACAAGCCAAAAGGGGCUGUGUGAGUUCAGUUUCUAUUGGACAGGUGCAAUUUACUUGACAAUGUAUGUCUUGUCUACAGUCUCAGAAGAGAAGCUAAAGACAGAAUGGGCAUCUUUUCUCCUCAGAGGUGCAAUUCAGGAUUUAUGCACGCUGGCAGGUCAGCAUGGGGUUCUUGUCUAAUUCUGCUAAAAAUCAAUGAGACCAGAGUGGAGGUUCACUGCAGGGUUUGGCCCUUGCAAUGGAGUGCUUUGCAUAAUCGCUGAUGGAGAAGGAGCUGUAGGUGGAUCAGGACGAACAACCACAGACCAGACCCCCAUUAGGUGAGGUGGUGUACAAACACAGAAGAAAAAGAUGGUCUCUGCCCUGAGACACUUACAACCUAAGUCUAAGACAGGAGACAACUGAUCAAUACAGGGCGAUGGGGGAGUACAGAUAUUCGUGCCCAUCCAAGUAGGGUACCAUUAGAGAAAGAAAGGAUUGACCUGUUCCCCUCGUUCAAGGAUUGAUCACCCCUGGAUGCAUCAUUGCAUCUUAAAAUGAGUGGGACUAAAAUGUGAUGUGACCAAAGGGCUGAGUCAUGAAGAGGUGGACCACAACAGGAACUAAAGCAAUCAAGUGCAAGGAGCACUGGAAGAGGAGAGCCUGGUACACCAUGCCCAGGUGCGAGGGGGU